UUUACAGAUAUUUUGUCAGAUCUUUGAAUUCUGGAAAGGGAUUUGUCUAUCCCCUGUAAAA
rnacentral:tRNA from 1 species